AGAGCGCAGCAGCGGCAGUUGGAGAGCGGCUGAGGCCUUGGUACCUGGGGGUGUCGGUAGUCAAAACUGCUCUGGCACAGUCCUGGGAAUCCUGCUGUAGGUGACCCUGCUGCGAGCAGGUUGGACUCGACAAUUUCCAGAGGUGCCUUCCAGCCUCAGCUGUUGUGUGGUUCUAAGUGUACAUUAGUGCCGUGCCAGUCUGCAUGCUUUCAUGUUAACUAACUUCUUACAAUAUAUCCAAAACUUUGGUCUAGACACAGAUAGAACUUAAAAGUGCAUUACUGUGUACUUGGUGUUUUUGUUGUACCUGUGAAAGCAUGUCACAGUGCUGUAUAAUGCUGCAAGGCUGGGUAGCCAGCUUAGUCAACUCACUGAUCUAGCUGAAAACUAACUAGGAGAAAAAAUAUAUAUGUAUUUUUAGCCAGGUCUGUGAGUUCAUACAGUGGGCACAUAAGAUGCCGUGGAUGUGGAAUCACAAAAUAUAGCAGUGGUCUAGUCCCAAGCCUGCCAACCAGUUUUUGAUAUGGGAUUGAGAAAAUGUCAUAGCUGAACUAGUGAAGUUUUAUCUUGACUAGGUAUUGCAAAUUCUUGAACAACUGGUAGAAGGUUGCCUCUUUUGAAUGGUUGUAGGCAGGACUGGUAGUUUUCUUUUGUAAGUAUUUUAAAGAAUUUUCCCUUGCAUCUUCAUCAUACUGAUUUUUUUUUUCAUGUUUAAACUCAGUCAAAUGAAUUCUGAAAAUCAUGAAUGUUCUUCCUGUCCAGAACCCCUAAUUUCCUUAUCUCCAUUCAUGUCACUUGUGUGGCAUCAUAUUUUAAGAUAAAGUGCUCUGAAUAUGCC